GUGCUCGCUUUGGCAGCAUAUAUUCUCAAAAUUGGAACAAUACAGAGAAGUUUAGCAUGGCCUGUGUGAAAGGAUGACAUGCAAAUUUGUGAGGAAAGGAAAUUAAAG